UGGGGGAAAAAGGGGGGGGGGGGGAUAAAAAGAAAUUGUGGGGGCCAAUUUUUUCUCAUUUCAGAUUUCAGAAAUUAAAAAGAAUUAUUCUUCAAAUAUUAUUUUUUUUUCAAAUUUCAAAUAUUGAAAAAUUUCAAGAAGUAAUCUUUAAUUGCACAGUAUGGCGCAUUAGAUUUGUAAAAUCUUUGAUCACAUUUAUUUAUUUGUUAUGCCGAAUCUAACAGUGUAUUUAGAUUUUUAAUUUUGGGUCCAGUUUUCAAAUUGGUCUACAUUAAUGUCCAAAGGGUCCAAAAUUAAACUUUGUUUGAUUUUAGCAAAAAUUGAAUAUAUGAGGUUCUUUGAUAUGCUGAAUCUAAACAUGUAUUUAGAUUUUUGAUUUUUGGCCCAGUUUUCAAGUUGGUCCAAAUUGGGGUCCAAAAUUAAACUUUGUUUGAUUUCAACAAAAAUUGAAUAUUUGGGGUUCUUUGAUAUGCUGAAUCUAACCAUGUAUUUAGAUUUUUUAUUUGUGGACCCCGUUAUCUAAUUGGUUCAUAUUGAGGUCAAAAGGGUCCAAAAUUAAACUUUGUUUGAUUUCAUCUAAAAUUGAAUUAUUGGCGUUCUUUGAUAUUCCUCCAAAUCUAACCGUGUAUUUAGGUUUUUAAUUUUGGGUCCUGUUUUUUAAAUUGGUCUACAUUGAGGUCCAAAGGGUCCAAAAUUAAACUUAGUUUGAUUUUGACAAAAAUUGAAUUCUUGGGGUUCUUUGAUUUGCUGAAUCUAAACAUGUGUUUAGAUUUUUGAUUAUGGGCCCAGUUUUCAAGUUGGUCCAAGAUAGGGUCCAGUAUUUAAACUUUGUUUGAUUUCAACAAAAAUUGAAUAUAUGGGGUUCUUUGAUAUGCUGAAUCUAAACAUGUAUUUAGAUUUUUGAUUAUGGGCCCAGUUUUCAAGUUGGUCCAAAUUGGGGUCCAAAAUUAAACUUUGUUUGAUUUCAACAAAAAUUGAAUAUAUGAGGUUCUUUGAUAUGCUGAAUCUAACCAUGUAUUUAGAUUUUUUAUUUGUAGGCCCCGCUAUCAAAUUGGUUCAUAUUGAGGUCAAAAGGGUCCAAAAUUAAACUUUGUUUGAUUUCAUCGAAAAUUGAAUUAUUGGGGUUCUUUGAUAUGCCAAAUCUAACCGUAUUUUUAAUUUGGGUCCCGUUUUUUAAAUUGGUCUUCAUUGAGGUCCAAAGGGUCCAAAAUUAAACUUAGUUUGAUUUUAACAAAAAUUGAAUUCUUGGGGUUCUUUGAUAUGCUGAAUCUAAACAUGUGUUUAGAUUUUUGAUUAUGGGCCCAGUUUUCUAGUUGGUCCAAGUUGGGGUCCAAAAUUAAACUUUUUUUGAUUUCAACAAAAAUUGAAUAUAUGGGGUUCUUUGAUAUGCUGAAUCUAACCAUGAAUUUAGAUUUUUUAUUUGUGGGCCCCGCUAUCAAAUUGCUUCAUAUUGAGGUCAAAAGGGUCCAAAAUUAAACUUUGUUUGAUUUCAUCAAAAAUUGAAUUAUUGGGGUUCUUUGAUAUUCCAAAUCUAACCGUGUAUUUAGAUUUUUAAUUUUAAGUCCCGUUUUUUAAAUUGGUCUACAUUAAGGUCCAAAGGGUCCAAAAUUAAACUUAGUUUGAUUUUAGCAAAAAAUUGAAUUCUUGGGGUUCUUUGCAACAAAUGGACAGAGGAGUUGACUAUUGAUAGUGACUGAUAAUGGACUGGAGUAACCUAGGGUCCAAUGACUCCAUGCCUGACAGUCCAUGUGUACAUAAUUAGCUCCUCAGAUGUAAGUGGAAGGGAAGCUAUAUACAUUAUAUGUUUAAAUGAAAUUAACAACAGGAUUAGAUAUUGAGGAGAUCCUAUAGCUACAGUAUAAAUAAAUGUAACUGCAACUGUAUUCCAAGAGUCUGAUGGCUGAUAAUGUAUUACAGGAUUUUAUCAUUCAAGCAACAUCUUAGAAGGAUAAGUGCAAAUGUAUGAAGAAAGCCUUGGGUACAAAUAGCAAUUACAGCAAUUACAUGCAGGAGAGAACUCUUAACAUUACUAACAGACAUGUAGUCAUUAUAUGGGAGUGGUGUAUUCAAGAAAUCUAAAACACAUGGAAUUAAAUAUCGUGUAUAUUUUUUCAACCACAAGUACUCUCAGAAUAUAAUACAAUUCAAAUUCAAAUUAUUGUGCCAACAUGACAAUUACAGUCUAAAAAUGGAAAAUGCAUGUUUUAAACUGAUUUUUAUAUAAAUAUUUGAAAUAACAAGAA